rnacentral:snoRNA from 1 species
UUCUAUGAUGACAAAACACGAAAAUAUUAUUAUUUCUGGUACCUCUUAUGCCAGAAGGGAAGCCCAGCAGGGUUCUCUUCGAUGAUCUAAAUGGACUUCUGAUC